UCUCGUAUUAAUGUUGUAAGAGCCUUAUUUUUAAAGGCCAUUGGGCCUUAGGAAGGGCAGUCAGACCCAUCAAACCAAGGCACUUGAGCCUUGAGGGACUUAGCCAAAAAUCAGGAAAACAUUUCAGUUCUUCCUUUUCUCUCACUAGAACCUUGCCCUAACUCAAGUGCUCUGACUUCUCUCUAGGUUUCCAGUCAUUUCCACCUAUUGAAUCCUAAUUUGGUGGGGUUUCCUUGUUCCUGGAGUCAAGAGCUACGAAACCAUCCGAUUGGUUUUGUGUUCCAGCGGGUUUUGUACAGUUUCACACGGUGUAGGGGGUACUGUUAAAGCAUCUGUGAACUGUGUUGAGCAACCCACCAGAGGAGAAUGAGGUCUCAGUGGAAAACGCCCUGGAGGAGAACUAAGGCACUGUAGCGGCCUAGAUCUUUAGGAAUUUUCUUAUGCCCUUUUAAAUCUUCUGUAUUUUGAGAUACUAAGAAUUUUCACGUUUUAAUUUCUUCUAAAUUUCCUGGAUUACUGUAAUCCUAAUUUAACUAAUUAAACACUCUUGACUGCUUUCUAUUAUCAUUUAUG